GCAAACUUGGUCAUUUAGAGGAAGUAAAAGUCGUAACAAGGUUUCCGUAGGUGAACCUGCGGAAGGAUCAUUAUCGAUUCAACACAAAUGAAAGGAGGAGCUGUUCGCAGCUGUGCUGGCUUUUUGCACUGUGCACGCUCGACUGUUCCUUCUCUUCAUUUACACACCUGUGAACCUGUUGUAGGGUAUCCCGCGAGGGAUGCUCUAUGUUUUUUCAUACACUCCAUUGUAUGUUGUUAGAAUGUACCUUUUUGCUCUCUCAGAGACAAAAAUAAAGCCUUUAUAACUUUCAGCAACGGAUCUCUUGGCUCUCGCAUCGAUGAAGAACGCAGC
rnacentral:misc_RNA from 1 species